rnacentral:rRNA from 1 species
AGUGAACGCUGGCGGUAGGCCUAACACAUGCAAGUCGAACGGCAGCACAGAGGAGCUUGCUCCUUGGGUGGCGAGUGGCGGACGGGUGAGGAAUACAUCGGAAUCUACUCUGUCGUGGGGGAUAACGUAGGGAAACUUACGCUAAUACCGCAUACGACCUACGGGUGAAAGCAGGGGAUCUUCGGACCUUGAGCGAUUGAAUGAGCCGAUGUCGGAUUAGCUAGUUGGCGGGGUAAAGGCCCACCAAGGCGACUAUCCGUAGCUGGUCUGAGAGGAUGAUCAGCCACACUGGAACUGAGACACGGUCCAGACUCCUACGGGAGGCAGCAGUGGGGAAUAUUGGACAAUGGGCGCAAGCCUGAUCCAGCCAUACCGCGUGGGUGAAGAAGGCCUUCGGGUUGUAAAGCCCUUUUGUUGGGAAAGAAAUCCAUCUGGUUAAUACCCGGGUGGGAUGACGGUACCCAAAGAAUAAGCACCGGCUAACUUCGUGCCAGCCGCCGCGGUAA